UACGUAGGCAGCAAGCGUUGUUCGGAUUUACUGGGCGUAAAGGGUGCGUAGGCGGCUUUUUAAGUUUGGUGUGAAAUCUCCCGGCUCAACUGGGAGGGUGCGCCGAAUACUGAGAGGCUAGAGUGUGGGAGAGGAAAGUGGAAUUCCUGGUGUAGCGGUGAAAUGCGUAGAUAUCAGGAGGAACACCGGUGGUGUAAACGGCUUUCUGGACCAUAACCGACGCUGAGGCACGAAAGCGUGGGUAGCAAACAGG
rnacentral:rRNA from 1 species